AGGGCGUUAAAGAAAGAGCGUUUAGGGCGCCCGAGAACGGCUGGUUUAUUAUUUGGAGAUCUUGGUUGGUUUGAAGGGAUCGUGACACUUGUCCAGCCCAUAAUUUCAAUAGACAGAAUAGGGAAUAGCCCAUGGUCAAGUGCGCUGCUGCUUUGGGAAUUAGUUGAGGGUUGACAAUGCAGGGAAGGCAUGGAGCACGGCCUGCCACCUUCUCGAUGCACGACUUUUGCAAGCUACUAACUAGUGUAUGCUGUUGUUUGGCCCCUGGAACCCAAGGUGUUUUAAACCGCGGACGUCGAAUUCCCCAGAAGGAUCUUGGAGUGAAAAUAUACUGGAAUAUUUUCUGAGAAAUAACCGGAUUACAACAGAAGAUGGCACUGAGAUCAUCUGGUAUCAUGCAGCUAACCACAAGGCACAGAUGAAUGAGGCAUUGAAAAUCCUAAUCUAGCAAAUUCAUUGGACAAAGGAGGGCAUUCUUCUCUCUGCUUCCACCUGAACAGUGAGAAACAGCUGUCUGGACAUUUGUGUUUGCUAGAACUUUCUUCAAAAGGACUGUUCCAGAAUUUGGAUUUGGGGAUGAUGGUGGAAGUUAGAAAUUAUCUCUCAAUUAAGCUGUACCCACUGACCUAGCUUUAUAGGUAAUAUAAGUAAUAUUUUGAACCCCAUCUACUAAUUUGGCUACCUUAUUUCUCAGAAUUCUUUCAGAAAAUGAAAUGCUGUUUGUUGAGCCUUCAAACUGCCUCGAUAGCCUGAAGGCCCUGUGCAAACUGGCCUGUUUUUUCAAGUUCUCCUGUCCCAGUAUGCUUAGUUUGCGUCUGUACCAGCCUUAGAGUCCUCUCAUGGCCCAGCUCUUCUCCUCCUCUGACUGCCAUGUACAUUCUUUCUGGAAUGCUCUCUUCUCACACUUUGCCUGGCUAACCUCUUAAACAUCCUUUGGUAUCAAUUAAAUUGCCUGUUGCUUUAUGAAGACUUUUCUUGAACUCAGAAUCACAAUUCAGGGUAGCUCCCUAUACUCUUCCUUCACAUGUGAACUUCUGUGUCCAAUUUCU